UGCCUUGAUGGUGAAAUGGUAGACACAAUUGAUUCAAAAUCAAUCACUUCAAAGGAAGUGUGGAGGUUCGAGUCCUCUUUAAGGCAA
rnacentral:tRNA from 1 species